GGUCUCCGUUGGUGAACCAGCGGAGGGAUCAUUACCGAGUUUACAACUCCCAAACCCAUGUGAACAUACCUACUGUUGCUUCGGCGGGAUUGCCCCGGGCGCCUCGUGUGCCCCGGAUCAGGCGCCCGCCUAGGAAACUUAAUUCUUGUUUUAUUUUGGAAUCUUCUGAGUAGUUUUUACAAAUAAAUAAAAACUUUCAACAACGGAUCUCUUGGUUCUGGCAUCGAUGAAGAACGCAGCGAAAUGCGAUAAGUAAUGUGAAUUGCAGAAUUCAGUGAAUCAUCGAAUCUUUGAACGCACAUUGCGCCCGCCAGUAUUCUGGCGGGCAUGCCUGUCUGAGCGUCAUUUCAACCCUCAUGCCCCUAGGGCGUGGUGUUGGGGAUCGGCCAAAGCCCGCGAGGGACGGCCGGCCCCUAAAUCUAGUGGCGGACCCGUCGUGGCCUCCUCUGCGAAGUAGUGAUAUUCCGCAUCGGAGAGCGACGAGCCCCUGCCGUUAAACCCCCAACUUUCCAAGGUUGACCUCAGAUCAGGUAGGAAU
rnacentral:rRNA from 1 species